GUACGCUACUGUAUCUGGCGUUCGUUGUAGGACCCCCUGUGAGGCUUUAUGGGACUUCACCGGGUAUCUUGCAGCGGGUGCUUGGACAGACAGUAUGGCUC
rnacentral:pre_miRNA from 1 species